ACCUGCGGAGGAUCAUU
rnacentral:rRNA from 8 species